UCGAAACCUGCAAAGGAGACCCGCGAAUAUGUUUGAAGAAAGCUUGUGGCCGUGGUGUCGGACGCCCCCGGUGUCCAGCAUCACGGUCCCGACCCCAAGCGGCACAAGUCCCUUGGGCGUACUAACCUCUCGGCGUGGCAAGCGCCAAGGAAAACCACAUCGAGCGCCUUUCCGUCCGGGCAUCGUCCGCGUUGCCCAGGAUGUGAUGAGUAGCGUCUAAUGUACAUGAAUACAACGACUCUCGGCAACGGAUAUCUCGGCUCUCGCAUCGAUGAAGAACGUAGCGAAAUGCGAUACUUGGUGUGAAUUGCAGAAUCCCGUGAACCAUCGAGUCUUUGAACGCAAGUUGCGCCCGAAGCCAUCAGGCCGAGGGCACGUCUGCCUGGGCGUCACGCAUCACGUCGCCCCCUCCCCAAACAUCAUCUUCCCCACCAACUAGGUGACGGAACGGAUGCAUGCAAAGGAGGGGCGGAUAUUGGCCUCCCGUUAGCUCGUCCAGCGGCCGGCCCAAAUAGGAUACCGUGUCGAUGGAUGUCACACGAUACGUGGUGGUUGGAACUCUCAACUUGCGAACUAUCGUGUGGGGCAACAUCGAGCUACGGCCACGGACCCAACGGCACGAAUCGCCCCCGG
rnacentral:misc_RNA from 1 species